CCAGUUUGGGGAUGAGUGUCUGGGUGUGUCUGUGACUGGCAGGAAGCGGAGCAGAGCCUCCUCGGCCGCUGGGUUUGGGCUUCUGUGUCUGUGGGGUACAGACAGCAGCUGCAGGUUGCUGGGUCCCCGGGGCCCCAGAGGCUGUCCUGGUGGUGAUGGGGAUGGGUGGAGAGCUAGGAUGACAGUUAUUUCCUUAAGGGCACUUUUCUCAGUAAAUGGAAUUGUUGUAUGGAUGACUCUGGAACAAGAAUCAACUCCGCGAGGCUUUGUUCGGGCCUCUGGAUGCUGAAGCGAGACAUCUGAGGGUCUCCAAUAAUGAGGCUACUGAAGCUCUUCCAGUGGUGAGGCAUUUUCCAUCCGUGUGACCUGCACAGUGCUUAGCAUGUCCAGCCCUUAGCAUGUAUUAGGUCACUUGGUCGUCCAGCACUCCCGUGAUGGAGGCACCACUCCUGCACACAGGGAAACUGAGGAGAAACAGCAAAAGAAAACACAGCAGGCCAGGCAAAGUGGCUCAUGCGUGUUAUCCCAGCACUUUGGGAGGCCAAGGCAGAUGGAUUUGACCCUAGGAGGCAGAGGUUGCAGUGAGCCAAGAUUGCACCACUGCACUCCAGCCUGUACGACAGAGCGAGACCCUAUAUCGAAAAAAAAAAAAAAAGAAAAAAGAAAAGAAAACACAGCAAAAUGUUCGUGGUUAACAGCACUAUGGGCCGACUGUUGCAACUUUAUUCUACUGCAUUAUACAAGCAGGGACUGUGCUAUCUGGAGGCCAGACCAGACUGGUAGAGAAGUAUCUUAAGUGUUUCCUGACACCACAAAUCCCCAAACACACUUGUGGUUCAGUUUCUGCUCACGCUACCCGACUUAAGUAACUUGUGCAGGACUCCAAUCAUCUCAGCAUUAAGCCCUCCUGCACUCAAGGCCUUGCUCUGUGGCCUUUGAGCCUCAGCUUCCUGAGCUGUAAAAUAGAGCUAGUAAGACCUUUCCUAUAGAGCUGUAGGGGAAUGGGUUCACGGCACGGUGGAGCUGACUUGUACUGACUCAGGAGGGUUGACUGAUGAUUUUCAGAAAUCAUUGGAGCCAGUUUGUAAAUACAGCCAUCAUUAACAAUUAAGUUCUAUACACUUACGAUUAAAUAAAUUAUAUUAAAAACAAAGCUCUAAAGACUCAAGACUCCUGGCUUCCUAAUUAUCUUACUACAUUUUACCUAUGCCCUGAGGUUAUUUAUAUCCAUGGUCUCUGCCUUGUGGAAGUGCUAGUAAUGGUGGCUACUGAACACCUCUUCCCAACUCCACAUUCAACAAUGUCACUCUGGGACCUCAAAACCAACUGCGCUGGGAGUAUUUACACCACAGAAAUGGGCAAAUGCUCUCAGCCAGGGCUUUCUUUACUCUUUUGUUGAUUUUCUAGAUUUAAGAAA
rnacentral:lncRNA from 10 species